AUUUAAUUUCAGUUCUACUACGCACCACCGUUUGUAAACACAUGUACAACAAUGCUGUUGGUGGAAGAUGAGUCUGGACACUGAGGCAUGUGACAAAUGUAAACAGUACAGUAUAGAAUCCAACAAAAGGUACAGGAUCCUGUGUGUGCAUCUUGAGGUGACUAUUUUCAAGAGGAGUUGGCACAACAACAAAAUUCAAUACCUCAGUUCAACACAGAAACAGCAUAAGAAAAACGAGAUAAAAAGCUCUGUCUCGGCCCUUAGAAAUUCGGGGGGACAUCUUCUAAUUCACUUAGAUGGCCGGAGUCCACAAGACCUGAGUUUGGAACACCUUGACGACUUCAUCGAUGAUGACCUUCAAGCCAUCAUCAAUGCUGAUGAAACAUUUGAUGAUGUUUAUUACAAAACCACAUUCCAGGAUGAUCGUGAAUUUGUGAUAAUUGACAUUCAGCCUUCACCAACAAUUAUUAUAACGGAUCCUAAGACUAAAUUUAUCAUCGACAAAGGGUUCAUACCAGAUAGUCCACAAGCACUGCAAGUCUUUUUGAAACGAGUAUCAGAGCAGCAAAAUGAUUCAAAAGUUCAUUUAGAGCAAAGAGUACCAGUCUUGAGUCACAUGACAUUAGAAACCAUAACGGAAAAAAGAGAUAUUCAGCUGUAAGGAUUUGUUUUUCAACCAAGUCGGCACGAGAAGAAGGAAACAAUUUUGAGAGACCCAAACCAGUUUGUUGACUACUUGCGGAGCCUGCAUCUUCCUCUCUAUGUCAGUGCUUUUGCAAAACUCAAGAAAGGAGGGUCUUUUAUCCUUGGCACAGAAGAGAAAGAAAAGAAAGUUGAUACCAACAUCAAAGGGAGGGAAGUCCAGUAUUUGUGUAAACAAUUUGAAGUUCGUGGAAUUAAACUGGCUUCAGACAAACAUACUGAGCUCAAGCAAUUAAUAGAGAGGUGUUUGAAAGAUGACAUGUGUCUCAUUGACUACAAGGGAGACAAAUUAGAUUGGCCUGACAGACACAUCAGUGUUGACUUUUACAAAGCCAAUGUAAAAGACCAUACAUUGCUUGAGGUUGUCGUGAAUCCAAUCACAGGAGUAUUGUUUUAUGAUAACAGUGGUCCAGAAGCAUACGAGGUCGUACACGGAGAACCAUUUCUUAAGUAUACUCGAUGUGAGCUCAAGAAAAUAAUCGCAUCAAUAAGGAGACAUUAGAAAGGAAUAUCUACAGAUAUGUCAGGAAAGAUGUUACCAAAUCAAGCAGUUUUACGCGAUGCGAGUAAAGAAAAUUUCUUUUCUGAAGUCCCGAUAGCCACAAGUAAUCCUUUCCGCCCUGCAGUAUAUGCAACUGGAUACUUUUGGAAGAAGAUGUCUGAACGACUUGAAAAUGAUAUCAACCUGCUCCCCGAGGGUACAGGCGAAAGGUGGAAGACGGAAAUGCAAAUCCUUCUUGGUACCUCAAAGAUGGGAUUGAUAUACAUGGGAACAUCGCUUGCAGAGAUGCUAAAUUUGCAGCUGACGGACACCAGCGUGGAAGGAGUUGCUUUUGAUGCCUGUGUAAUCGCAUCGGAUCAACCAGUUCAAAUUCUCUCCUUUGUAAGAAACGACGUAAAAAACACAGACCGUACCCUCAUUCAAAGAAAUGACGAAUUGGCCAAGGGUGUCCUGUAUUCAUUAAUGGAAUUUACUGAUGAAAAGAUUAACAUUGCAAAUGGGGUACUUGAUAUAGAUGAUCUGGGGAACAGAGUAGAUUUUGAAGACAAAAGGAACGCUCUAAUAGAGAAGUCAUGUCGUUAUGUCAAUCCCAGGUCACUUGAAAUGAAUCCCAGGAAUGCAAGAAUUUAUGCAGGGCCUUCUUCGUGGCCUCAGGUGUAGAGCACACGUCCACCCGGACAUCUUCAGACCCAAUAGUCCUGCUAAAGUGGGAUGUCUAUAUGAACAAAUACCUCCAUGAACCAAAGGUACAUGAGAAUCAUGCAGCCAGCGAAACAGGGAAAGAGUUUAUCAAAAGGUUGUCAAACUCAGGCACAACAAUACGUGACGUGAAAAUACCAAAAAAAGACACCACCCCACGCAAUCCUGACUUCCUUGAACAUGAUACCCACUCGGAGAUUUACAUGGAUGGUGAAGAAGUAUCUCAGAAUGAUGGAAAACCUUCUACCGGACAUGUUCCAUUUUUAGAAGAUUCUGGUCGUCAACAAAUGUGGAAUGAAUCCUUGAGGGUUGAAGUUCCAUUGACGGGACUGCAGAGCGUACCGGGUGUGUUUGCCUGAAAUAACAUACAUGUAUGCCAUUGGGAGCCACGACAUUUCUCAAACAUAUUAAAAGAUCCAAAAAUGACUUUGUUCUACAGAGAACGUCAUUCAGUAACUAAUUAUUACUCAAGAUCCCACUCCCCUCGCGUCUCUGUGCACAUGAAUCAGAUUUGGGCACAUUCUAAACCAAGCUAACCCGAACUGAGCCUUUAAAAUAUAUUUUCAACAACAAUGCGACCAUUUUUACAGUGAAACUCUGACCCUGAGAAGUCUGACCACGACCUUCAAGCAUACGUAAACAAAUCAAAACACAAAAAAGAAUCAUAUGGAUUCUACAAAAUAACUAACAUUUUCCAGACGCAUUUGACCCAUCCAGGCCAUAGACCAAGCUGCUAUACAUAAUUUCCUAGCCACUAAAAUUUUUAAAUCAUCAUUUAUCACAUAUCCUGAAUCAGUUUGAGCAAUAACAACACUAAAUACCAGAAGCAAACCUCUCCAAAGAAGCCUGAAAAUCCCCCGCCCACAAUCCCAUACUAUUUCAUCUCACCCUUUCCCUACCCCAUAAAACCUUUUUUUUUAAUGGUCGUCGCCCCUUUUGUACAUCCCCUGGGUCUUUUUCUUUCAAGUAUCCCUAUCUCUCAGGUUAAGACUGACAGAGCUGGUACCCUUCCAGGUUAGUACCCUCGCUGUCAGGGAUUUAGAUCCGUCAGCGUGAUCUACGUGAUACCCAGUGAUUCCUGGAACUAUGUUCACCUUGAAUAUCUUUAUGAUUGUGUGACUAUUUUCCUGUGUAAAUGUUUUUUUCAUGUAUUCUUCACAAAAUUUCUCCAUGUAUCUUUUUGUUGUCGUUUGUCGCCGACCUCCAUGUUUACUUUAUUUGCUAUUGUGUCCUUGCUCUUAGGAGUUUUAUCAAGUAUUAAAUUGAUCUAGGUAGAAUAGUGGAAGUUAAUUAAGCACCCAAAAACAUAUUUGAUCCAUGUCAAUGAUGUCAUUGUUUGUUCACUUUGAAAGGGUUUGCCAAAACGCAGCCGACAUGUAUGUGAAACGUGCUACCCUCUCUUAUCAUGAAAAGCAGUAUCUCUGCCUAGUUGCCGUUCAAGGCUAUAGAAUUUAGGAAUAUGCCAUCCGUUCCAUCCACACACGUCAACAUGCCGAGGAGCAGACUUUCAUUGCGACUGAGACAGACAGUGGGUAUGCAUGCAGCUGGCAUGUCAUUCAAGGCCAUGGGCGUCAGCUUGGGUACUGCCUCUCAUCAGUCGACCUAUUCGGACACACCAACAAACAGGUGCCGUCAAUAUCGACCAAGACCAACCCAGGAAGGCCAUUCCAGCGGAAGGUCACAAUAUGGCCCGUUACGCAAGGCGUCACCAGGCGUCUCACUCUGACUCAUGAACAGAAAAGGCAACGUCAGCAGUGGUGUUUUGCCCGAUGGCGAUGGAAUCCUCGGACCUGGAGAUGAAUCCAUUAGUCAUAUGAAAACAGGUUCCUGCUUUAUGUUACAGAUGGCUGUCUUAGAGUUUGGUAGCGCACUAACAUUGCUCAUUGACACUCCACAUUCAUUCUAGCGUUCCCUUUGGUGGGGGCUCAGUUAUAGUGUGGGGAUGUGUCUCCCAUGACUGUAACUUGACAUUGGUGACUUACGGAGAAAUCUUGGUGACCACCACUACAUUCCGUAAAUUCUGGAUCAAGCUGCUUUGCGUCAUUUUGAUAACCCAUUAGCUACCCGCCCCAUAUAUAUAACACUGGGCCACAUCGUUUCCGUGCUGUGGGAGAGCUAUUAAGACUCUCCCUUGACCUGCAAGGAGACCUGAUCUGAACCCCACCGAGCACAAAUGGGACAUUCUUGGUUGACCUUUGCAGGCAAAGAACCCUCAUGUAACUAAUUCGGGUGCACUGGAGGCAGCAUUGCCUGAAGAGUGGCGUGGAUUGCCCGGGGGACAUAUUCGUAGACUCACUGGUGGUAUGUGGAGGAUGUUAUCCAGGCACGAGACGGAUACACAAGAUACUGGUGUCAGACUCCUCGUUAGAAUAUAAAGGGCCUACACAGUAGCGAAAUCCAGCACUAACCCAUGUCUCAUGCCAGGACAAUACGUAUUCAAUGAAUUGCUUUUCCACAAAAUCAAGAGUGUUGUCCUUUCUCACAUACAGAGCAUACAAAUUAACAUAUUGCGUACAUUUUGUUGUUUUUAUGCGGUCAGUUAUUCAAUCUCCUUCUAGAAGUAUGGAAGUUCUGAUAUCUUCUGUUCAUAUUACUGUUCUAAAACAGGGGAGUGCUUAAUUAAGUUUCAUGUGUAUUUAUAUGCUACCUUAUUCAUGUAUUGAACAUGUUUUUUGUAACUUUGUGUAACUACUUAUUGGUGGAAUUGUACACAUGAAAAAAUGUAUUGCAACACCCCGGAUCUUUCAUAGUAUCAAUAUUUUGCCAUUAACCAUCAUCCAAACCCAAAUUUAACACGCUAUCUGGAUUUAUUGACCAUCUAUGAAUAACUAAAUGGCAAAACUAAAUGCAAGAGAACGAAAAACUGUUGUUCAGUAAGAAGCAAACAAUAUUCAUUUAGAGUGCUUAUUACUAAGGUCGUAUGGUGUUAACAAGUGCGGUCAUUUUCAAUCCUCAAGAAAUCCCAGAAGUAUGAAUAAAAGCAGACAAUGUCUAUAUCUGGUGUAAUCUCCACCAACUGCAAUAACAUCCCUGACUCUCGUCCUCACUGACACGUUGUAUGCAUUAGCGGAUCCAGAGAGAGAGAAGGGGGGUGGGGGGUGUCAGGGGGUUCGACCCCCCUUUUGAAAAUGACCUAAGACCACAUUGACGAUUUUUUUGGCGUUGGCUGAGCCAAAUUGGGGGUUCAGGGGUCCUG